rnacentral:tmRNA from 1 species
GGGAAUGUCCUGGUAUCGACAGGAAUAGUUUGAGCUUAUAUUGCGAGUCGUGGGGACCGUCCACGUUAAAACGUCAAAGCCUAUAACUGGCAAACAACAAAACAAUUUCGCUUUCGCUGCCUAAAAACAGUCGUUUGCGGUUCCGCCCUCCAUCGUCCAUGUGGUAGGGAUUGGGACUCACUAUUAGUGGACUACGCCUAACAUUCACCGUCUGAGGAUGAAGGAAGAGAACAACCAGACUAGCGGCUUCCAUGCCAGUCAGUUGGCUAAAGUAGCAGGCAAAAUCAAAGAAACUGACUACACUCGUAGACGUAUAAGUGGCAAUAUUUCUGCACAUGGGUUCGACUCCCAUCAUUUCCACCA